UUUUUAAUUGGGAUCUUGUAUGAAUGAUUGGACAAAAGAAAUUCUGUCUCUAGGUUAAAGUUGAAUUUAACUUUUAAGUGAAAAGGCUUAAAUAUUCUAAUGGGUCGAUAAGACCCUAUAAAGCUUUAUAUAGAAAUUUAAUAUUUAUUAAAUUUAUUGUAUAAUAAUUUAAUUAAAUUAUUUAUUAUGUUGGGGAGACAACAGUGAAAUUUUUAUUAACCGCUGAAAAUUGUAAACAGUAAUUAUUGGGUAAUUAAUAGAUCCUUUAUAAAGAUUAAAAGAUUAAGUUACUUUAGGGAUAACAGCGUUAUAUCUUUUGAGAGUUCUUAUCGAAAAAGGUGUUUGCGACCUCGAUGUUGAAUUAAUAAUAUCUAUAUAAUGUAGCUGUUAUAUUAGAAGGUCUGUUCGACCUUUAAAAUUUUA
rnacentral:rRNA from 1 species